GUGAGGAAUCUUCCACAAUGGGCGAAAGCCUGAUGGAGCAACGCCGCGUGAAGGAUGAAGGUCUUCGGAUUGUAAACUUCUUUUAUGAGUGAAGAAUAUGACGGUAACUCAUGAAUAAGCACCGGCUAACUACGUGCCAGCAGCCGCGGUCAUACGUAGGGUGCAAGCAUUAUCCGGAGUGACUGGGCGUAAAGAGUUGCGUAGGCGGUUAUGUAAGCGAAUAGUGAAACCUGGUGGCUCAACCACAAAGACUAUUAUUCGAACUGCAUAACUCGAGAAUGGUAGAGGUAACUGGAAUUUCUUGUGUAGGAGUGAAAUCCGUAGAUAUAAGAAGGAACACCAAUGGCGUAGGCAGGUUACUGGGCCAUUUCUGACGCUAAGGCACGAAAGCGUGGGGAGCGAACCGGAUUAGAUACCCGAGUAGUCC
rnacentral:rRNA from 1 species